UACGUAGGGUGCGAGCGUUGUCCGGAAUUAUUGGGCGUAAAGCGCUUGUAGGCGGUUUGGCGCGUCUGCUGUGAAAAUCCGGGGCUCAACCCCGGAAUGGCAGUGGGUACGGGCAGACUAGAGUGUGGUAGGGGAGACUGGAAUUCCUGGUGUAGCGGUGGAAUGCGCAGAUAUCAGGAGGAACACCGAUGGCGAAGGCAGGUCGCUGGGCCACUACUGACGCUGAGAAGCGAAAGCGUGGGGAGCGAACAGG
rnacentral:rRNA from 1 species